UACGUAGGCAGCGAGCGUUGUUCGGAGUUACUGGGCGUAAAGGGUGUGUAGGCGGUUGUUUAAGUUUGGUGUGAAAUCUCCCGGCUCAACUGGGAGGGUGCGCCGAAUACUGAAUGACUUGGAGUGCGGGAGAGGAAAGUAGAAUUCCUGGUGUAGCGGUGAAAUGCGUAGAUAUCAGGAGGAACACCGGUGGUGUAGACGGCUUUCUGGACCGUAACUGACGCUGAGACACGAAAGCGUGGGUAGCAAACAGG
rnacentral:rRNA from 1 species